UACAGAGGGUGCAAGCGUUAAUCGGAAUUACUGGGCGUAAAGCGUGCGUAGACGGUUAUUUAAGUCAGGUGUGAAAGCCCCGGGCUCAACCUGGGAAUUGCAUUCGAGACUGCAUGGCUAGGAUGCGGAAGAGGGAAGCGGAAUUUCCGGUGUAGCGGUGAAAUGCGUAGAUAUCGGAAGGAACACCAGUGGCGAAAGCGGCUUCCUGGUCCAGCAUCGACGUUCAGGCACGAAAGCGUGGGGAGCAAACAGG
rnacentral:rRNA from 1 species